GACGAACGCUGGCGGCGUGCUUAACACAUGCAAGUCGAACGAUGAAGCAGAGAAACGCGCACUUCGGUUCAAAUUUCACUUCGGAUUAGUGGCAGACGGGUGAGUAACGCGUGAGCAACCUACCUCUUACAAAGGGAUAGCCUCGGGAAACCGUGAUUAAUACCAUAUGACACAUUCAUAAGGCAUCUUAAGAAUGUUAAAGCUACGGCGGUAAGAGAUGGGCUCGCGUCCCAUUAGCUAGUUGGUGAGGUAACGGCCCACCAAGGCGACGAUGGGUAACCGGCCUGAGAGGGUGAACGGUCACAUUGGAACUGAGACACGGUCCAAACUCCUACGGGAGGCAGCAGUGGGGAAUAUUGCACAAUGGAGGGAACUCUGAUGCAGCGACGCCGCGUGAGCGAUGAAGGAAUUCGUUUCGUAAAGCUCUGUUCUAUGGGAAGAAAAGGACUGUACCAUAGGAGAAAGCCCCGGCUAAAUACGU
rnacentral:rRNA from 1 species